rnacentral:rRNA from 1 species
UACGGAGGGUGCAAGCGUUGUCCGGAUUCAUUGGGUUUAAAGGGUGCGCAGGCGGGCCAUUAAGUCAGGGGUGAAAGACGGUUGCUCAACAAUCGCAGUGCCUUUGAUACUGGUGGUCUUGGGUAACCUUGAGGUAGGCGGAAUGGGUGGUGUAGCGGUGAAAUGCAUAGAUACCACCCAGAACUCCGAUUGCGAAGGCAGCCUACUGGAGGUUUACCGACGCUCAGGCACGAAAGCGUGGGGAUCAAACAGG